CGGAGGGUGCAAGCGUUGUUCGGAUUUACUGGGCGUAAAGCGCGCGCAGGUGGGUGUGCAAGUCGGAAGUGAAAUCCCAGGGCUCAACCCUGGGGCUGCUCCCGAAACUGCACGCCUAGGGACUGGUAGAGGCUGGUAGAAUUCCCGGUGUAGCGGUGGAAUGCGUAGAGAUCGGGAAGAAUACCCGUGGCGAAGGCGGCCAGCUGGGCCAGAUCCGACACUGAGGCGCGAAAGCGUGGGGAGCAAACAGGAUUAGAUACCCUGGUAGUCCACGCCGUAAACGAUGGGCACUAGGCGCUGGUGGGAGCGACCCCUUCAGUGCCGUAGCUGACGCGAUAAGUGCCCCGCCUGGGGAGUACGGCCGCAAGGCUG
rnacentral:rRNA from 1 species